CCUCGUCGCACAUGACAGUUCCGCUGUCGCACACGCAAAUCCGGCAUGGCUCAGGUUUCCAUACGUCCUUGUCAUUGUACGACUGGCCGUCUAAUGUGCAGCUAUUGAAUAAGCCUGCGAAUGAAAGACCAAGAGGAGCACAAUUGACUCUGGACUAACUGGAUUUUGUUUAUGCACCUACUGGAAUGUCCAGAUGGCAAGACUUCACAAUAGUCCAUCCUACAGCCGGUCUUUCUCCUGUGGCCAUUGUCAGAGUGUGCAAGACUAAGACAUGAAAGCUCAGACCACGGUGCCCAGGAUAUCCAUCUCUCUAAGAGGUUGUGACUUGCAGUGUCUGUGCAGUGCCCUUCAUUUCACCUGAGUGUUGAGACAGGAGCCACUGUUAUAGAAAAUUACUCAACACCUUCAUAAUCAACCAAUCAGAAUUGAGGAUUCUACAGCACUGUGAACGUGUACAACUGAACUAAAGAGAACCUCCGAGUGCAGAAGAAUGCUAUAAUACAGUUUGUAUGCCAUAAUACCAUAUAAUAUGAUACCACUAUGGCUGAAAUUAUAGAGUGGACAUGGCUAAUGUGAGUCACAAACGUAGAGCAGACAACACACACUCUCUCUCUUACAUACACACACAGUGUUACUGAGACACAACGGAACUCCCAAAAUAUCACCACACAGUCCUUGUCUUUUCUCUGGGCAUUCAGAACAGGAACGGGGACAAUAAACUCUCCUGAAAUAAACAUUCAAAAUUAAAGAGUGUAAAACCAGGCAAGGCAAAAAUCUUGGAAACCAGCUCUUGGUGGGAAAAAGAAAAAUCAUAGUCCAUCCAUCUAGCAUCUGAAGUGUUUCAGAGAUUUUCUUCUUCUUCUUCUUCUUCUUCUUCUUCUUCUUCUUCUUCUUCUUCUUCUUCUUCUUCUUCU